UACGUAGGGGGCCAGCGUUGCUCGGAAUUACUGGGCGUAAAGGGUCCGUAGGCGGUGUGGUAAGUCGGGAGUGAAAUCUCUGGGCUUAACUCAGAGGCUGCUUUCGAAACUGCCGUGCUCGAGUGCGAGAGAGGUCAGUGGAAUUGCAGGUGUAGCGGUGAAAUGCGUAGAUAUCGGGAGGAACACCUGUGG
rnacentral:rRNA from 1 species